GCCGCGCCGGGGUCCGCAGGGCCGUUGGCGGCCACGCGCAGCCAGAGCCCUGCGCGGCCCCGGACUCGCCCCCGCGCCCAUCCGCGCGGCCCCGGGCUCCGCCCACAGGCCGCGGCGCUGACGCGGGCGCGGCCCCUGGCUCGGGGAAACGCCUCUGGCCGCGCCGCCGCCGCGCGCCCCCGAGCGGUGCCAAGGCGCGGCUCGUCCCCGCGGCCCCCAGACGGCCCGGCCGCCCGACGACCCCGGCCACUGCCACCUGACGGCCCCGGCCCCGGACCUGGCCCCCGCCGCUGCCUGACGGCCCCGUCACCGGUCCCCAGUCCCCGCUGCUGCCCGACGGCCCCUUCCCCGGUAUCUGGCCCCCGCCGCUGCUUAUAAGCUGCUGCCACUGCAGCCUUGAGGGGUCCCUUCCUCCACACCUGCAGAACAUUUGACCGUAAGGAGGAGAAAGAGGACUUGGGAGGACAUGUUAGCUGAGAUCCUGCAAGCCAGUGCUGCAUCAGACCAUGAACAGAAGACCUAGGGGGUGAAUAUUUCAGACAGGUGGAGAAGGAAAGAGCGGAAAGGAGAAAGACCCAGGAGUCCCAGCAGGAAAAGAAGGGAGAUGCACCAGGACAUAAUGGGGCUUCUCAGGCAGCGAACACAGAUGCUGCAAACUCUGGUUGACCUACAGGUUCAAUAAGCAUGGGCUCACCUUUGCAGUCAAUGUAGAACACCAUUUUAGCACCUCCCUACAUCCCCCUCCAACAUUCAGCAUGGCUUCAGGGGUCACAUCCAUACCCCAACAGUGGGAGGAAAAAAAGACAAUCACAGCUGCAAAUACAUUGACUUGCGAGAGCCACGGUUGGUGUAUGUGUAUCCUAAAUGGACUGAUAUGGGCAUGAAUGUUCUUUCCCCUUGUUAAGUUCUGUUCAUUUAUUUCAGAAGUUUUUAUUGUAUUUGUUUUUAAUUUGCACAUAGGAUUUUUGCACUGGUUUGGCUACACAGUAAAAUUUUUAUUUUUUUGGAAAA